UCGACCAUGCAUAUUCCAUAAGUGCUCGAUAAGGUCGGCUUGGAGUUGAGAAUGAGUGCCUCUAUCUCUAAUACGAUGAUUUUGGGCAAUGAACUCUAUGAAUUCAGGUAUAUUAUCGCGUGAAAUUGACUCGGAUGGAGUAUUAUCAUUGGCUUCAUAAUUGAAUUGGUCAGCCCCGAGAUAUAGAUGACGUUCAUCUUCAACAAUCAUCUUGUGCAAGAUAAUGCAUGCGUACAUAAUAUCUUUUAGAACUUCAGGUUGGAAAUACCUUGCAGGUCCACGCACAAUUGCAAAUCUAGAUUGGAGUACUCCGAACGCACGUUCCACAUCUUUCCUUGCAGACUCCUGGCAAGCAGCAAAAUAUUUUUUCUUUUUUCCAUGUGGAGCAAGAAUUGUUUUUAUAAUGUGGCGAACUCGUGGCGAACUCGGUCUGGUCGCCUCAUCACGGUUUUGCACCCCUUUCCCUCAGAUCCAUUUCUCCCGUAAAUCCUUCCUCCUCCAUCAGAUCCCUUCCUCCCUGUUUCCCCCUCAAGAUCUCACUCGACUCCUCUUGUCUCUCAUCUCAUCUCACUUCCCAGUUCCCUCCCAUCUCCCACUCCCGGUCUCCCCAAUCUCGACUCCUCCCGGUCUCCAAUCUCAGACUCACUUCCCUCCCUUCCUGUCUAAGUAUCCUCGAGCCCGCUCUUACUCUCUCACUUCUGUAACCCUCUGUCCCUUACUUCUCUCUCACUUCCCUUUGGUAGCCCUCUCUCUCUAACCCCGAUCUGUUACUUGAAGACAUAUACAACAAGUAAUGCACCCAGAUUAUGCCUUCAUCCUGUUAUGUUUUCUUUGAGUUGAUGCAUUUCAAAUGGAAUCAUCAUCUUGGCCCUUUUGCUGUUGAAAAUCUUCCUCACAAACUUUAUCACUGAGAAUUUAUAGUUGCAUAACUGUCAACAAUUUGGAACUGCCCAAAUAGGAAAAAAGUGAGUAAUUUUUUGUUGUUUGUAGAAGAGAUUGACCGAAGUUGUUUAUCCCAAUCUUAAAAAGAACUACUCUUUGAUGUUCCAUAUUUUAGAGAGAUUGUUCAAGCAAAUCUAGAUUUUGGUGGGAUUGGGCAUCGCGUGGGACCAAACUCAAUCAAGUGGACUCCGGAUACAAACAAUUCUAAUUUGUUAAGAACUGCCGUGAAAACAGAAGUUCCCGAUUUGCAGCAAUGGUGAACUUUUAAUUGUAAUAGUUAUUGGUUGGUGAAGCCUGUAGAUGUAUCGUGUUACUGUUAAUUGUAAAUGGAUAGUGGUUCAGACUAUGUUUCUAAUGGAUAUUGCUAAUUUGAUUA